rnacentral:tRNA from 1 species
GCCUGGAUGGUGGAAUAGGUAGACACGCCGGACUUAAAAUCCUGUUCGCAUUGCGCGAGUGCGGGUUCGAUUCCCGCUCCAGGUA